rnacentral:rRNA from 1 species
AGUGAACGCUGGCGGUAGGCCUAACACAUGCAAGUCGAACGGCAGCACAGUAAGAGCUUGCUCUUACGGGUGGCGAGUGGCGGACGGGUGAGGAAUACAUCGGAAUCUACUUUUUCGUGGGGGAUAAGGUAGGGAAACUUACGCUAAUACCGCAUACGACCUACGGGUGAAAGCAGGGGAUCUUCGGACCUUGCGCGAUUGAAUGAGCCGAUGUCGGAUUAGCUAGUUGGCGGGGUAAAGGCCCACCAAGGCGACGAUCCGUAGCUGGUCUGAGAGGAUGGUCAGCCACACUGGAACUGAGACACGGUCCAGACUCCUACGGGAGGCAGCAGUGGGGAAUAUUGGACAAUGGGCGCAAGCCUGAUCCAGCCAUACCGCGUGGGUGAAGAAGGCCUUCGGGUGGUAAAGCCCUUUUGUUGGGAAAGAAAAGCAGCAGGUUAAUACCCCGCUGUUCUGACGGUACCCAAAGAAUAAGCACCGGCUAACUUCGU